rnacentral:rRNA from 1 species
GACGAACGCUGGCGGCGUGCUUAACACAUGCAAGUCGAACGGAAAGGCCCUGCUUUUGUGGGGUGCUCGAGUGGCGAACGGGUGAGUAACACGUGAGUAACCUGCCCUUGACUUUGGGAUAACCUCAGGAAACUGGGGCUAAUACCGGAUAGGAGCUCCUGCCGCAUGGUGGGGGUUGGAAAGUUUCGGCGGUUGGGGAUGGACUCGCGGCUUAUCAGCUUGUUGGUGGGGUAGUGGCUUACCAAGGCUUUGACGGGUAGCCGGCCUGAGAGGGUGACCGGCCACAUUGGGACUGAGAUAGGGACCAGACUCCUACGGGAGGCAGCAGUGGGGAAUAUUGCACAAUGGGCGGAAGCCUGAUGCAGAAACGCCGCGUGCGGGAUGGCGGCCUUCGGGUUGUAAACCGCUUUCGCCUGUGACGAAGCGUGAGUGACGGUAAUGGGUAAAGAAGCACCGGCUAACUACGUG